GACGAACGCUGGCGGCGCGCUUAACACAUGCAAGUCGAACGGAGAGGCCUGCUUUCCCUUGUGGAUUGCGGGUACUCGAGUGGCGAACGGGUGAGUAACACGUGAGUGAUCUGCCCCCAACUUGGGUAUAAGCCUGGGAAACUGGGUCUAAUUCCCGAUAGGACUGCAGGGUGGUGCCUGUGGUGGAAAACGAUUUUCUAGUGGUUGGGGAUGAGCUCGCGGCCUAUCAGCUUGUUGGUGGGGUAAUGGCCUACCAAGGCGGCGACGGGUAGCCGGCCUGAGAGGGUGGACGGCCACAUUGGGACUGAGAUACGGCCCAGACUCCUACGGGAGGCAGCAGUGGGGAAUAUUGCACAAUGGGCGGAAGCCUGAUGUAGCGACGCCGCGUGGGGGAUGACGGCCUUCGGGUUGUAAACUCCUUUCGACCGCGAGGAAGCCACCUGGUUGGAAGGGUGGUGGCGGUAGUGGUAGAAGAAGCACCGGCUAACUACGUG
rnacentral:rRNA from 1 species